AGCGUACACGGUGGAUGCCCUGGCAGUCAGAGGCGAUGAAGGACGUGCUAAUCUGCGAUAAGCGUCGGUAAGGUGAUAUGAACCGUUAUAACCGGCGAUUUCCGAAUGGGGAAACCCAGUGUGAUUCGUCACACUAUCAUUAACUGAAUCCAUAGGUUAAUGAGGCGAACCGGGGGAACUGAAACAUCUAAGUACCCCGAGGAAAAGAAAUCAACCGAGAUUCCCCCAGUAGCGGCGAGCGAACGGGGAGGAGCCCAGAGCCUGAAUCAGUGUGUGUGUUAGUGGAAGCGUCUGGAAAGGCGCGCGAUACAGGGUGACAGCCCCGUACACAAAAAUGCACAUGCUGUGAGCUCGAUGAGUAGGGCGGGACACGUGGUAUCCUGUCUGAAUAUGGGGGGACCAUCCUCCAAGGCUAAAUACUCCUGACUGACCGAUAGUGAACCAGUACCGUGAGGGAAAGGCGAAAAGAACCCCGGCGAGGGGAGUGAAAAAGAACCUGAAACCGUGUACGUACAAGCAGUGGGAGCACGCUUAGGCGUGUGACUGCGUACCUUUUGUAUAAUGGGUCAGCGACUUAUAUUCUGUAGCAAGGUUAACCGAAUAGGGGAGCCGAAGGGAAACCGAGUCUUAACUGGGCGUUAAGUUGCAGGGUAUAGACCCGAAACCCGGUGAUCUAGCCAUGGGCAGGUUGAAGGUUGGGUAACACUAACUGGAGGACCGAACCGACUAAUGUUGAAAAAUUAGCGGAUGACUUGUGGCUGGGGGUGAAAGGCCAAUCAAACCGGGAGAUAGCUGGUUCUCCCCGAAAGCUAUUUAGGUAGCGCCUCGUGAAUUCAUCUCCGGGGGUAGAGCACUGUUUCGGCAAGGGGGUCAUCCCGACUUACCAACCCGAUGCAAACUGCGAAUACCGGAGAAUGUUAUCACGGGAGACACACGGCGGGUGCUAACGUCCGUCGUGAAGAGGGAAACAACCCAGACCGCCAGCUAAGGUCCCAAAGUCAUGGUUAAGUGGGAAACGAUGUGGGAAGGCCCAGACAGCCAGGAUGUUGGCUUAGAAGCAGCCAUCAUUUAAAGAAAGCGUAAUAGCUCACUGGUCGAGUCGGCCUGCGCGGAAGAUGUAACGGGGCUAAACCAUGCACCGAAGCUGCGGCAGCGACGCUUAUGCGUUGUUGGGUAGGGGAGCGUUCUGUAAGCCUGCGAAGGUGUGCUGUGAGGCAUGCUGGAGGUAUCAGAAGUGCGAAUGCUGACAUAAGUAACGAUAAAGCGGGUGAAAAGCCCGCUCGCCGGAAGACCAAGGGUUCCUGUCCAACGUUAAUCGGGGCAGGGUGAGUCGACCCCUAAGGCGAGGCCGAAAGGCGUAGUCGAUGGGAAACAGGUUAAUAUUCCUGUACUUGGUGUUACUGCGAAGGGGGGACGGAGAAGGCUAUGUUGGCCGGGCGACGGUUGUCCCGGUUUAAGCGUGUAGGCUGGUUUUCCAGGCAAAUCCGGAAAACUAAGGCUGAGGCGUGAUGACGAGGCACUACGGUGCUGAAGCAACAAAUGCCCUGCUUCCAGGAAAAGCCUCUAAGCAUCAGGUAACAUCAAAUCGUACCCCAAACCGACACAGGUGGUCAGGUAGAGAAUACCAAGGCGCUUGAGAGAACUCGGGUGAAGGAACUAGGCAAAAUGGUGCCGUAACUUCGGGAGAAGGCACGCUGAUAUGUAGGUGAAGUCCCUCGCGGAUGGAGCUGAAAUCAGUCGAAGAUACCAGCUGGCUGCAACUGUUUAUUAAAAACACAGCACUGUGCAAACACGAAAGUGGACGUAUACGGUGUGACGCCUGCCCGGUGCCGGAAGGUUAAUUGAUGGGGUUAGCGCAAGCGAAGCUCUUGAUCGAAGCCCCGGUAAACGGCGGCCGUAACUAUAACGGUCCUAAGGUAGCGAAAUUCCUUGUCGGGUAAGUUCCGACCUGCACGAAUGGCGUAAUGAUGGCCAGGCUGUCUCCACCCGAGACUCAGUGAAAUUGAACUCGCUGUGAAGAUGCAGUGUACCCGCGGCAAGACGGAAAGACCCCGUGAACCUUUACUAUAGCUUGACACUGAACAUUGAGCCUUGAUGUGUAGGAUAGGUGGGAGGCUUUGAAGUGUGGACGCCAGUCUGCAUGGAGCCGACCUUGAAAUACCACCCUUUAAUGUUUGAUGUUCUAACGUUGACCCGUAAUCCGGGUUGCGGACAGUGUCUGGUGGGUAGUUUGACUGGGGCGGUCUCCUCCUAAAGAGUAACGGAGGAGCACGAAGGUUGGCUAAUCCUGGUCGGACAUCAGGAGGUUAGUGCAAUGGCAUAAGCCAGCUUGACUGCGAGCGUGACGGCGCGAGCAGGUGCGAAAGCAGGUCAUAGUGAUCCGGUGGUUCUGAAUGGAAGGGCCAUCGCUCAACGGAUAAAAGGUACUCCGGGGAUAACAGGCUGAUACCGCCCAAGAGUUCAUAUCGACGGCGGUGUUUGGCACCUCGAUGUCGGCUCAUCACAUCCUGGGGCUGAAGUAGGUCCCAAGGGUAUGGCUGUUCGCCAUUUAAAGUGGUACGCGAGCUGGGUUUAGAACGUCGUGAGACAGUUCGGUCCCUAUCUGCCGUGGGCGCUGGAGAACUGAGGGGGGCUGCUCCUAGUACGAGAGGACCGGAGUGGACGCAUCACUGGUGUUCGGGUUGUCAUGCCAAUGGCACUGCCCGGUAGCUAAAUGCGGAAGAGAUAAGUGCUGAAAGCAUCUAAGCACGAAACUUGCCCCGAGAUGAGUUCUCCCUGACUCCUUGA
rnacentral:rRNA from 1 species